CGAGUCAUUGGGUGUUACGAAACCCAAAGGCGAAGUGAAGGUAAAGGUUCGGCUUGUCCGGACUGAGGUGAGAUCCUGUUGUCUUGCUCAUACUUUCCAAGUUGCGAGCAGCGGGCGCAUCACCGGCCCGUCCCAUGACGUAGACAUGUGACCUCGUGUUGUGUGCACCGUCGGGGCGGAGCAAGAG
rnacentral:rRNA from 2 species